rnacentral:rRNA from 1 species
AUUGAACGCUGGCGGCAGGCCUAACACAUGCAAGUCGAGCGAGCGGCGGACGGGUGAGUAAUGUAUGGGGACUGCCCGAUAGAGGGGGAUAACUACUGGAAACGGUGGCUAAUACCGCAUACUAUCGGAUAACCCAUAUGGGAUUAGCUAGUAGGUGGGGUAAAGGGUCACCUAGGCGACGAUCUCUAGCUGGUGUGAGCGGAUGAUCAGCCACACUGGGAGUGAGACACGGCCCAGACUCCGACGGAGGCAGAAGUGGGGAACAGUGCACAAUGGGCGCAGGCCUUAUGCAGCCAUGCCGCGUGUAUGAAGAAGGCCUUAGGGGUGUAAAGUACUUUCAUCGGGGAGGCGUUACUCGCAGAAGAAGCACCGGCUAACUCCGUGCCAGCAGCCGCGGUAAUUC